rnacentral:rRNA from 1 species
UGGGGAAUUUUGGACAAUGGGCGAAAGCCUGAUCCAGCAAUGCCGCGUGUGUGAAGAAGGCCUUCGGGUUGUAAAGCACUUUUGUCCGGAAAGAAAUCCUUGGCUCUAAUACAGUCGGGGGAUGACGGUACCGGAAGAAUAAGCACCGGCUAACUACGUGCCAGCAGCCGCGGUAAUACGUAGGGUGCAAGCGUUAAUCGGAAUUACUGGGCGUAAAGCGUGCGCAGGCGGUUUGCUAAGACCGAUGUGAAAUCCCCGGGCUCAACCUGGGAACUGCAUUUGGUGACUGGCAGGCUAGAGUAUGGCAGAGGGGGGUAGAAUUCCACGUGUAGCAGUGAAAUGCGUAGAGAUGUGGAGGAAUACCGAUGGCGAAGGCAGCCCCCCUGGGCCAAUACUGACGCUCAUGCACGAAAGCGUGGGGAGCAAAACAGGAUUAGAUACCCUGGGUAGUCCACGCCCUAAACGAUGUCAACUGUUGUUGGGGAUUCAUUUCCUUAGUAACGUAGCUAACGCGUGAAGUUGACCGCCUGGGGAGUACGGUCGCAAGAUUAAAACUCAAAUGAAUUGAC